UCAAACUCACUAUUUUGUCUAAAUUCUUAAACUGGAUGGACCCUUUCAAGUAAAGAUUUUUAUAUAAACCUGUGAGGAUGAUACUGCCAUUGACGCAAUUAAAGUGCCAUAAGCCUACGUUGUCGUAUUAGUUUACAAAUUGCGAAAAACCAAAUUAAAUUUGAAUUUCGCGGGCAGACCCGUCUCAUGCCCCGUAAAUUGAGCACCAAAAUCGUACUUUUAACAAGACAGUUGGCACAUACGGACCUUCUACAGUCAUUACCAGGAAUAUUGUACAGAUUCAGGGAAGAAGUAAAGUAAGUUAAGUAUACAGAUAAGUAAUUGUUAGAAAGUAGUUUGUAUAAGGUUUUUCCUAUUUUGUUAGUAGCUGUUCUGGUUUAAGUUUUUGUUCCUUGUUUGUUAAGUUUAUUUUGUGUUGCGCUGUAGUUUUGUACCUACAUACUUUAAUAGUGCAUGCCGAGUCCACAUCGAGAAGACGCAAUUGCGCGCAUGUAUCUUUGUCCAUUUAUCAUCUUGUAUGUCAUUUUUUCUUACCAAUUGUAGUCGGUUUUGUGGACUGAAUAAAAAAAAAAAAAAAAA